GUAGGGAAUAUUGGACAAUGGGGGCAACCCUGAUCCAGCGACGCCGCGUGAGUGACGAUGGCCUUCGGGUCGUAAAGCUCUGUUGCAAGGGAAAAACAAAAUGAUGGUACUUUGCUAGAAAGGAUCGGCUAACUUCGUGCCAGCAGCCGCGGUAAGACGAGGGAUCCUAGCGUUGUUCGGAAUUAUUGGGCGUACAGCGGGUGUAGGUGGCUUUGUACGUCAGUUGUGAAAGCCUGGGGCUUAACCCCAGAAGUGCAUUUGAUACUGCGAAGCUUGAGUGCUGGAGAGGCUACUAGAAUUCUUGGUGUAGUGGUGAAAUACGUAGAUAUCAAGAGGAAUACCGGGGGCGAAGGCGGGUAGCUGGCCAGACACUGACACUCAGACCCGAAAGCGUGGGGAUCAAACAGGAUUAGAAACCCCUGUAGUCC
rnacentral:rRNA from 1 species